ACUAGCCAAUAUGACUAGUACAUCUAGUUGUUAUCGCGUAUACUUAUUAUAUAAAUUUAUAUAAAUUAGA
rnacentral:tRNA from 1 species